ACUUUUUUUUUUUAAUAUUUAUUUUUUAGUCGUAGUUGUACACAAUACCUUUAUUUAUUUAUUUUUAUGUGGUGCUGAGGAUUGAACCCAGGGCCUCGCACAUGCUAGGCGAGCGCUCUACUACUGAGCUACAACCCCAACCCCUAAACUUUUUUCUUGAUAAAAAAAUUAUGUUCUAGUAUAGAAAAUUUUUAAUUUUUGAUACUGAGGGAUUGAACCCAGGGGAACUUUACUACUGAGUAACAUCCCCAGUUUUUUUUUAUUUUGAUGCAAGGCCUUGCUAAAUUGCUGAGACUGACCUCAAACUUGCAAUCCUUCUGCCUCAGCCUAUUGAGUCACUGGGAUUACAACUGUGAGCCACCACUCCCAGCAAUUGCAGAAAAUUUUAAAUGAGGCGUUGUUCCCUCAUCCAGCUCUCCAUCCUCUUAACCACUUCCACUGCUUCGGACUUGGGCAGCUUUAUCACCAGAGUCCCUGAACUCCAGCUUUCUUUUUAACCUACUGCAUUGCAUCACCAGUGUGUCCCCCCAUGUCAGACGCUGCCAUGGACACUAGCUCUGAGAUCACCACAGAAGACUUAGAGGAGAAGAAGUUGUGGAGGAGGCAGCUAAUGAAAGGAUGCCCCUGCUAAUGGCAAUGCUAAUGAGGAAAAGGGGGAGCAGGAAGCUGACAAUGAGGUAGAUGAAAGAGAGGAAGAGGAGGAGACCAUGGCAGCUGCCAAAAAAUGGGCAGCUGAAGAUGUCGAGAAUAAUGAUAUGUUGAUGCCAAGAAGCAGAAGACUGAUGAGGAUGACUAGACAGCAAAGAAUGAAAAGUUAAACUGAUUAAGGAAUAAAGAAAGUCCACUGUGAAUUAUUCACCCUCCACUUCCCAUCUCAGAAUCUAAACAUUGUUACCUUUGGGUAGAGAGUGCUCCUGUCUGCCCACCUUGGGCACCAUCUUCAGAUGAUGUACUUUCCACCACCCAAUCAAAACCACAGUGUGAAUAUUGAAGACGGGAGGUGAAAAAGAACCAACACUUCAAGACCCUGAAUUUUUUUCUUAAAAGUACUUUAAGAAAGGAAAAUUU
rnacentral:lncRNA from 1 species